rnacentral:misc_RNA from 1 species
GAAAUGCGAUAAGUAAUGUGAAUUGCAGAAUUCAGGGAAUCAUCGAAUCUUUGAACGCACAUUGCGCCCGCCAGUAUUCUGGCGGGCAUGCCUGUUCGAGCGUCAUUACAACCCUCAGGCCCCCGGGCCUGGCGUUGGGGAUCGGCGGAAGCCCCCUGCGGGCACAACGCCGUCCCCCAAAUACAGUGGCGGUCCCGCCGCAGCUUCCAUUGCGUAGUAGCUAACACCUCGCAACUGGAGAGCGGCGCGGCCACGCCGUAAAACACCCAACUUCUGAAUGUUGACCUCGAAUCAGGUAGGAAUACCCGCUGAACUUAAGC